GAAAUGCGAUAAGUAAUGUGAAUUGCAGAAUUCAGUGAAUCAUCGAAUCUUUGAACGCACCUUGCGCUCCUUGGUAUUCCUCGGAGCAUGCCUGUUUGAGUAUCAUGAAAUCCUCAAAAUAAAUCUUUUGUUCAUUCGAUUGAUUUUAUUUUGGACUUGGAGGUCUGCAGAUUCACGUCUGCUCCUCUUAAAUGUAUUAGCUGGAUCUCAGUGAACUCGGUUCCACUCGGCGUGAUAAGUAUCACUCGCCGAGGACACUGUAAAAGGUGGCCGGGGUUGCAGACGAACCGCUUCUAAUCGUCCAUUCACUUGGACAAUUUAUUAUGAUCUGAUCUCAAAUCAGGUAGGACUACCCGCUGAACUUAAGCAUAUCAAUAAGCGGAAGGAAAAAGAAACUAACAAGGAUUCCCCUAGUAACCUAAGACUGCC
rnacentral:rRNA from 1 species